AUAAAAUAAUUUUAUAAAAUUUUUGAAAAUUUAAUAAUGAUUUCAAAAAUAGAGUAAUUGGAGACCUAUACUAUGAUUGUGUUGUUUAUCUAUGAUUUUACAUUAAAUGGCUUAUGAUAAAUGUGGGUAUGACUAGUUACUUUUAUGAUUUAAAGAAUAUGUGAACUGCUUUGAUUUGCCUUGAAUGUGUUAAGUGAGCCGUGUCAUAUUAUUGUGAUUUUAUUGGUUGGUGGAUUAUAAAGUGGGCACUGCAGUGACGGGGGUUCCAUGGGCCAACCUAAUUAGAGGGGCACGGUUCCCAAUUAUUGAGCUUACCUCAAUUGGAGAGGCGCGUAGGAUAACUCCCGAGGUAGGAUUUGAAUACACUUCACACUAGCCACCAUGUGAAACUGAGACUCAGCCAACGCCAAGGAACGGCUGUGUUGUUAGAGGUGAAAUGUGUUUGUGUGUGUGACAAUAAACAGCCUUUGCGGUCUCGAUAAGAUACCCCGCGGGGUAUCCCCGAGAAUGGAUUUUUAGCAAGGGCCAAGUUUUUGAAAAGUGCAUAACCCAUGUUGAGUAAUUGGAUGAAAUCCAAUUAUUUAUAUGGGUUGAGAUGAAUUAUUUUAAUUGUCUCCUAUUACUUGGCUUUACAUUAUUUUGAUGAUGUCUGUAUACUCACUGGGAUUUUAUAAUCUCACCCCUUCUUCCUAUACAUUUUUCAGGCUCAAAAUAGGCAGUAGACUGUCAAUUGCAUCGAGAAGUAAAAUUCGGAGUUGCAUCCUAGAAAGCAAGGUUAUAGACUUAAACCUUCUCAAUUAUUUGGAGGCCCACGUGUCAUUGUAAUUUAAAUUGCAUACUCCAGUUUUCUAUAUUAUAGUAUGUAUAAAUUUAUUUUGUUUUAUGUGUAGUAAAUUAAUUUUUGAUGUUUCAAAUAUAUAUAUAUAUAUUGUUUUACGUUAAAAUAGAUUAUUUUAAUUAAUAUUUUAUUUUAUUUUGUUAUUCAAAAAAAAAGAGAGAGGAAUGGAAAAACUAGUACAAAAGCCUUGCGAGGUCUCGAAGGGCAUUUGGGGGAAGAAUAUCUGUCGAGGCUUCGCGGUGGUUGUCACGGGCUCAAUGGGAGUUUCAGGUCGUGACAAUUAAGUUGGUAUCAGAGCUUUUGGUUAACAAAGCAUGGUUUUAAUGUUUUUUGUUUUUAUAGUUAUUUUAAGAAUUCACAUUGACACUGCGUGGCCUCAGGUUUAGUUAAACUAGGUUAAGUUAAGUUGGGUUAGGUAGAGUUGCAUGUAUGUAGAGUCUGAGAUUACUUAAACUUGCCUUGUUUCCUUUUUAGAUUACCAUGCCUCCUCGACAUGAGCGCCCACUCCCUACUAAAUCAGCUAGGAGGGGCAGAGGUCAUCCUAAGCAGGGUCAACCAGACUUUAGAGGAGAGGAAUCGACUGCAUCCCCUUUUUGAGCGGCACCUGCUGUUGAACCGAUCGAGAUUCCUCUGCCACCUACUAGCAUUCCUGCCGUGUCUCCUUAAGUAAUUCAGGCAAUGGCAACCUUCUUUACCGCGAUGGCUGGUCAAGCCCAGACUAGUCAGGUCCCACCUGUAGUGCCACCAGUUACUCCUGCAGUUCCAUUGGCACAUGAUGUCUCUAUUUCUAAAAAGUUGAAGGAGGCUAGACAAUUAAGUUGCAUGUCUUUUGUGGGUGAGUUGGAGGCCACCGCAGCGAAGGAUUGGAUUAAUCAGGUUUCGGAGACACUCUCCGAUAUGAGAUUAGAGGAUGAGAUGAAGCUCAUGGUGGCUACGAGGUUAUUGGAGAAGAGAGCUCGUACAUGGUGGAAUUUGGUGAAGUCCCGUUCCACUAUUCUCCUAACUUGGUCAAACUUUCUGAGGGUAUUUGAUAGUCAAUAUUAUACCCAUUUCCAUCAAAAAGAGAAUAAGAGAGAAUUUCUGAGUCUAAAGCAGGGAAAUUUAACUGUAGAGGAGUACGAAACUCAAUUUAACAAGCUGUUGUCUUAUGUGCCUAAUUUGGUGAGGACUGAACAGGAUCAGGCUGAUUAUUUCAAGGAAGGGCUCCGCAAUGAGAUAAGAGAGCGAAUGACCGUGACAGGUAGGGAGCCCCAUAAAGAGGUAGUACAAAUGGCCUUAAGGGCUGAGAAGCUCGCAAAUGAAAAUAGGAGAAUGCGAGCUGAGUUGGCAAAGAGGAAAAAUCCAAAUAUGUCCUCCAGUCAGCCACUAAAGAGGAGCAAAGGCUCAUUUGUUUCAAGGAGUGCUCCUUCUGUUUCGGUAACAUCCUCCCGACCAUCAUUUUCACAAAUGCAGCAGAGGCCUCCGAGAUUCAGCGGAUCUGUAGUGACUACUUUUGAAAAAAGUUUCGGAGGUUCUGAUAGAUGUAGAGAAUGUGGAAGAUUUCAUGGUGGGGUGUGCUGGGGGCCUUUGCGAUGUUUUCAUUGUGGCCAGAUGGGUCACUUUAGAACUAAUUGUCCACAGUUAGGACAGGGCACUGUAGCUGCUCCAUCUUCAUCAGCUCGUACGGACUUGCAGAUGAGAGAUUCCUCUAAAGCACAACCGAGGCAGGGAGUAGCUAUCCAGCCUAAUGUGGAGAGUAGCACCCCAGUACACCUACCUUCCAGACCACAAACUCGUGCGUCAACAAAAUUUUAUGUGGUAAUGGAAGAUGAAGCACGAGUCCAACCUAGAGAAAGUGAAUGAAAAGUUAGGUGGAAAUGUAAGAUAAUGAUAAGAGAUGUAAAUACUAAGUGUUGAGAGUGUAAAUAAAGCUUUUAAGAAUAAUAUAAUAAAUGAGUUUAUGUAGAAUAUCGCUAUGGAAUUUUCUUAAUGUAUUCUGGAAAUUGGAGUUCAGAAAUGCAUAAGACAUGAAAGAUGAAUAUUUGAGGCAUUGAUGAGAAUGAAAGCGCAACCCCACAUGUGUAGGGAUUAGUAGUAUGGGUAACUAAAGUGAAGAAUGGUCCUAAGUGGUUCGAGAUUUAAAUUUCAUGUAUGAUGAGUGAUGUAGGUAGAGCAACGAAAAGAACAUCUCAAUAGUUAAAGGAUUGUGGAAGAAUGCUCAAACGAAGGAGAUGACAUGAGAUGUUGAACAUUGGAUAAAAGCUAAUACCCCUAUCUUUUCUUGGAGUUCGAUAAGUGAAAUUUUGGAGACAAAAUUUUUUUUAAGGGGGUAAAUAUUGUCAAACCCUGCUUUGUAAAAUAAUUAUGUUGUCAUUCACAUGCUCGAUAGAAUGUUUGUAUAUUGAAGAAGCCCGAAAAAUCGACAAAAGACGGUAUUACCCCUAGAGGUGCUGUGAAGUUGAUUUAUGCCUCAAGCUAGUUCAAAUGAAAAAUUUAAAAGGAAUUUGAGAGUUCUGAAACCCCAAAAUCUGCUUAGAAUGGUGAUUCGGAGUUCGAGGAUCAAUUUGAAAUCAAUCAGGAAAAUUGACCGAUUAUGAGGUAAAAUGGUAAUUUUACCACUCGAGGACGAAAUUGAAUUUUUCGAGAGAAUUUAGAUCCAAUUUGAUUAAAUGAGGAAUGAUAUGAGUAUAAGGAGUGAAAAUUAUGCAUUUUGGCAAUUUUUUAAUUUUUGGGGCACAAAUGUAAUUUUUCACUUUUAUAGGGGCAAAAGUGUAAUUUUCAAAAAUUUGCUCCACCAAAACUUUGAAAAAGUCUAGAAAUUUCAUGGAAGACAUGGAUAACUAAAGAGGAUUGAGUGGUAGAACAAGAAAGUAAAAAAAAAGAUGGCUAAAAAAAAUAAAAUAAUAAAAUAUUCAAAAGGUAAAUAAAAUAAUAAUAUUUUAUUAAACCUAUUAAAAGACUUGAAAAUUUCAGAAUUCUUCAUUGGGAGGGUCAGCCAAAACCAGCAGGAGAGAGAGAGAAAUAAGAACAAACCCUAGAGUGAGAAAAUUCAAAGAAAAAGUGUGAUUUUUCAAGGAAUCAAGUGUUUAAAGGUAUGAUUUUUCAAGCUUAGCUUAAGAUUUAUCAUUUCCAUGCAUUUCUCCUUAUUUUCCAUGGUUAAAUUAUGUGUUUUGAUGAUGGAUUCAAAUCUGAUCAUAUGGGUUUAGAGAGAGAAAGUUGUUAGAUUAAUUUGAUUUUGAACUAUGUUAGUGUUUAGUGUUAGUUUAGCAUGUUUAUGAGUAAAACAACAAGAAAAAUAUUCAUUUUCUCCAUGAAUUUCUCUAGGCCGAAUCUAGCCAAUGGUGUGUGAGGAUGAGGUUGACUUUAUUUUAAGAGAAUUAGAUGGAAAAAUGAUGAAUUAUGAGGUUGGAAAUUAAAUGGGAAUUUUUGGUGCAAAAAAAUUAAAAUUUUUACCCACUAGGGGUAAAAGCGUAAUUUGUGGUCCGAACUGAUAAAUUGGACCACAUUCACAGUCAUUGAGGUAUUGUGGAUAUAAUUGGAUAAUUGAAAUUGAAAUGGAUGGAAUUGGAGUUGAAUUGGAGAUUUUAGAAAUUUACACCGUGUAUAGGCGAGUUAGGUCGGACAUUGUGAUUAAGCGAUUGUCCAAACAUUUCACACCCUAUCUAGUGCAUACGCAUGGAUAAGAGCCUGAAAUAAUAUAUAUUGAUUUGACACAAAUUAUUCAAUUUUUUGUGUCAUGUAUUGUGGAUAGGUGGUGAGCUAUCUGAUACGGGUAAAAGACUACACUCGGGGAUCGAGAAUAGGGUAUAUCUACUCCAGUACAGUGAGUGAACUUACUAUCGUCUUAAUUAUCUAGAGUAGAUUUAUUUAAUUGUGUGAUUUUAUGGAAAAAUGGUUUAAUUGGAAAAUUAUUGUGUUUGAUGGGAAAAUGGGAUUUUAUAAAAUAAUUUUAUAAAAUUUUUGAAAAUUGAAUAAUGAUUUCAAAAAUAGAGUAAUUGGAGACCUAUGCUAUAAUUGUGUUGUUUAUCCAUGAUUUUACAUUAAAUGGCUUAUGAUAAAUGUGAGUAUGACUGGUUACUUUUAUGAUUUAAAGAAUAUGUGAACUGCUUUGAUUUGCCUUGAAUGUGUUAAGUGAGCCGUGUCAUACUAUUGUGAUUUUAUUGGUUGGUGGAUUAUAAAGUGGGUACUGUAGUGACGGGGGUUCCCUGGGCCAGCCUAAUUAGAGCGGCACGGUUCCCAAUUAUUGAGCUUACCUCAAUUGGAGAGGCGCGUAGG
rnacentral:lncRNA from 1 species